CCGAAGUCGUAAUCUAGUCUGUCAUGGGAUAUUUAUAUGCUUGUGAUUUGUCAUUUUGUGAUGCUAUAACAGCAAUUGCUAUGAAACGGGAACAGGGAAGUAGGAGUUACAGCGCGUACUGGAUAGUUUUGGUCAUAUUUAGAAAGUUUGAACGAUUCUCCUUUAGAAAAUAAAACUUUUGUAAUUAAUUGGCAGUCCAGUUUGGCUUUUUCUAAAUAAAAGUUUUGUAGUCUGUAGAUUUUCAAAUACGAAACUAAUAGUAACGUUGAAAUAGCAUAUUUAAAAUUUUUUUAGCAUUUCUUCAGCUUAGGCCGUAACAAUAACUAUACCCGUAUAACUAUAAGGCUAACAUUUAUUAUAUAUCCAAAUGUUAAAAUGGAAGUUAAUCUCAUUUGGUAUAAUUGAAUCCAAAUCAUUGUACUAAUACUAGUACUAUUACUAGACAACUUUUUAUGUUUCAUGGGUAUAUAAGUGUAAAAAUCACUGUUUUUAAUGUGCAUGAAAAAAAAACGUAAUUUUAAAUAGUCUGUGACUGAAAUUGAAAACGAAAGUAUUAUUUUUUACUCCAAGUUCAAAUUUUAAUACUUUGUAAUCUUUCUGAAAAGAAGGAGCCUUAUGGUCUUGCAUAGAUAACAUUGACUAGGCAAAAACAAAACAGUAAGCCACCAAUAGUGUGGAAAUGAGAAAAUCAUGUUCUAGGAUUAAUGAAGAACAAAUACCAACAAAUUUUGUUCUCUGUUUUUUAAAGAGGAAGACUUAAAGUUCCAAGGGGGUCGAAUGCCAAUGAAGAGUGAAGAAUAAAUGGGCCACUGCAGUGAAAUGAGCAGAUCCAAGCAGUUGUGACAAGAAAUGGAAGCCAGUGGCUUAGAGUAGAAGUUGCUAUUUACAUUUCAUCUAAGAUUACUUUUCUCAGUUAUAGUUUUUAUAUGGUGGCAUCUACAUGAUACAGUCAUAUUACUUUCUGUGUAGAUUUAGAGAGAUUUAUAGCAUCGUCUAUAAAUUUAGCCUUAUGUCCCUGUUAAAAAACAGUGUAUUAAAAGUAGGCUAAUCCAUCAUGUAUGGACCACUGAAAGAACACCCAGAGUUAAGACCACUUGAGGCCAGUUUGUAGGGUGGCACUAAUUUUUAGAUUCCAUUGUCUUUGAAAAUUAGACAAAAAUUUCACAUGUUUUUUUGUAGCUGUCAACUUGUUGAAGGUUGCAUUACUUUUAGCCAAUAGAUUUCCUUAGUCAAUUUCAAGUUAUUGAUUCUGUCAAAAGUUCUGGCAGAUUCAUCUUGGUGGAUUGUGAGAUUAAUUCAUCUUCAUAUUUUUCAAUUACAGUGAGUACCAGUGAAUGUGUACCUGUUCUAUACAAUUUUUCAGUGUUGGUAAACUCAGCAUACUCGACACUGGAAGAGCUUGAUUUUAGCCAAGAACAUAGAACUGAAGUACAGGUCUGAUCUUUGCCACUAAAUACAAAGUUUUUCAAUAUAGAAUGUGAAGUUACAGUUGGAGAAACCAUUAUGUUUAUGUCCAAAAUGGUAGAUGAUAAAACUAGCUUUGCUUUAAGUCUUUUGACUACAUAUCCUCUAUAGGUUUUUUUGGGAUACCUAAAUGUCCUAGUUUUUCAUUCUUGUCAGUAACCUGUAACCUUUUCUAUACUUGUAUUCAGUAUUUUGACUCUGAGAAUCAUGAAUCCAAAGAUAUAAUUUUUUUUUUAACUGAGUAGGGAAAUUACCAAACAGUUCAGAAUAACUCAACAUAGCCUUUUCUGUUUUCCCUCAAGUUGGCUAUGAUGCAGACUGCAGAAGAUGAAGUGAUGUUACUAUGGGAUACCUCACUGAACGUGUGAUUUUUCGCCCACUAAAACAGAGAGAGACAGUUGAAUACAAGUGACAGGUAAAAUUGGCAGAUGAUUUUUGAUUUUCAAGUCAUAAAAAAAUUAUAUAAAAUAACUUAAGAAUGAAUAUAAAUGAUAGUUGCUUAGAAUUUUAUGACAAACUUAUGGUCAACAAGAAAUUACCAGGGGUUAAACUGAGGUAGAACAGUCAGGAACAGCAUUUUGCUUCUUGAGGAUUCAAGCCAUUAGCAUUUAAGGUCUUCUGAUUGGAAUAUUAAAAUAGAUCAUAAAAGGGAAUUCCACUUCUUCCAAAAUCCAAAUUUAAACAAUGAAAAUUGCUAGAAAAUAUUCACUCAUCAUAGUGGUAUCUAUAGCAGGUGUUAAAUAUUCACUCAUCAUAGAGGUAUCAAUAGCAGGUGUUAAAUAUUCACUCAUUAUAGAGGUAUUUAUAGCAGGUGUUUAAUUUUCAUCAUCAUAGAGGUAUGUAUAGCAGGUGUUAAAUAUUCACUCAUCAUAGAGGUAUCUAUAGCAGGUGUUAAAUAUUCACUCAUCAUAGAGGUAUGUAUAGCAGGUGUUAAAUAUUCACUCAUCAUAGAGGUAUCUAUAGCAGGUGUUAAAUAUUCACUCAUCAUAGAGGUAUCUAUAGCAGGUGUUAAAUAUUCACUCAUCAUAGAGGUAUCUAUAGCAGGUGUUAAAUAUACACGAUUGUUCAUUUUAAGUUUAAUAUGAGAGUAUUAUUUAGUUUAUAUAGUGCGAACGUUAAAGUAAGUUAUAUUCAGAAGUGAUAGUUGUGGCAAGUUUGUUUACAUAACUGUUUACAACUCAUUUGUUGUAAAUUGAUAUCAUGUUAUUCAAACUGUCUGAAUUUUUCUCGUUGCUUUGAAUGAGUAUUGUUACAUAAAACCAUCUCAUAGUUUGUAGAAAGUUAAUUCAGGCAAUACAUAGAUAUAUCUAUAAGCGAAUAAGUUAGAUGAAAAAAAGUAAGUUAGAGAAAGUGAAAGUAAGACAAAGUUAGUGCGAGAUAUAAUCAAAUAGACCUAGACUGUGUUUGUAAGUUUAACCUUAAAGAGUGUAUUCUGGUGACUUUUAAAGUGUAAUAAUAGCAGAUUGUAUUGUCAUAACAGAGUAGAGAAGAAUGAUUCAUCUUGUCAAUUGGUUUCUAAAGUAACUGAACCAGCUUAUGAUGAAAAAGA